rnacentral:rRNA from 1 species
UACGUAGGGUGCAAGCGUUGUCCGGAAUUAUUGGGCGUAAAGAGCUCGUAGGCGGUCUGUCACGUCGGCUGUGAAAACCCGAGGCUCAACCCUGGGCCUGCAUUCGAUACGGGCAGACUAGAGUUCGGUAGGGGAGACUGGAAUUCCUGGUGUAGCGGUGAAAUGCGCAGAUAUCAGGAGGAACACCGGUGGCGAAGGCGGGUCUCUGGGCCGAUACUGACGCUGAGGAGCGAAAGCGUGGGGAGCAAACAGG